GAAAUGUGAUAAGUAGUGUGAAUUGCAGAAUUCAGUGAAUCAUCGAAUCUUUGAACGCACAUUGCGCCCCUUGGUAUUCCAUGGGGCAUGCCUGUUCGAGCGUCAUUUGUACCCUCAAGCUCUGCUUGGUGUUGGGUGUUUGUCCCGUCUCCGCGCGUGAACUCGCCCCAAAGUGAUUGGCAGCCGGCGUACUGGUCCCGGAGCGCAGCACAUGUCGCGCAAACGAGUGCCUUGGUACGGCGGCGUCCAUAAGCCCCUCUCUCACGCUCUUGACCUCGGAUCAGGUAGGGAUACCCGCUGAACUUAAGC
rnacentral:misc_RNA from 1 species